GACAGAGGUCCCGAGCGUUAGGCGGAAUCACUGGGCUUAAAGCGUGUGUAGGCGGAUUGGUAAGUACCUUGUGAAAUCACACGGCUUAACCGUGGAACUGCUUGGUAUACUGCUUAUCUUGGGCCACUUAGGGGCUACCGGAACAAACGGUGGAGCGGUGAAAUGCGUAGAUAUCGUUUGGAACGCCAAUGGUGAAAACAGGUAGCUGGGAGUGUGCCGACGCUGAGACACGAAAGCCAGGGGAGCGAACGGG
rnacentral:rRNA from 1 species